CUCUUUGGUUAUCUAGCUGUAUGAGUGCCGCAGAGCCGUCAUAAAGCUAGAUAACCGAAAGU
rfam:Erinaceus europaeus unplaced genomic scaffold scaffold00001, whole genome shotgun sequence